AAUAGACACGUCAGCAUGAAGCGAAUAUCCUGUAUACUUCUUUCAACUACGAGUGCCGAAAAUUAUUUGGAGGCAAUAAGCAUGGGUAUUUACAACCGAAUAAUUCAUAUUCAAAUUGGCUGUAAACUGUGGAUUGUAUUGAAUUCAGAUGAA